AAUUGAAAAAUUAUCUUGGACCAAAUUUCUAGGCCUAGGUGUUACAACUCUCAUCCCCUUAAGAAGAAAUUUGGUCCCUCAAAUUUUUUGCCUUCUCACUAGUCAAAUAAUUAGGGGUACUGGGUUCUAAAGUCCAAUUCUAGCUCCCAAGUGGCCUCUUUCCUUGCGAGAUUCUGCCAUAAGACCUUGACGAAGAGAAUUUCUCUGUUGUGAAGUACUAUGUUCUUCUGGUCCAAAAUGUCUACCGGUACCUCCUCAUAUGAUAGAUCUUAUUGGAGUGAAAGUGGCUCGUGAGAUAGGAUAUGCGAGGGGUCUAAGUUAUACUUGCCUAGCAUAAAUACAUGAAAUACGUUAUAGACUCUAGAUAGCUCUAGU
rnacentral:lncRNA from 1 species